CUAUGUGUUGUUGGGUAGGGGAGCGUUCUGUAAGCCUGUGAAGGUGUGCUGUGAGGCAUGCUGGAGGUAUCAGAAGUGCGAAUGCUGACAUAAGUAACGAUAAAGCGGGUGAAAAGCCCGCUCGCCGGAAGACCAAGGGUUCCUGUCCAACGUUAAUCGGGGCAGGGUGAGUCGACCCCUAAGGCGAGGCCGAAAGGCGUAGUCGAUGGGAAACAGGUUAAUAUUCCUGUACUUGGUGUUACUGCGAAGGGGGGACGGAGAAGGCUAUGUUGGCCGGGCGACGGUUGUCCCGGUUUAAGCGUGUAGGCUGGUUUUCCAGGCAAAUCCGGAAAACCAAGGCUGAGGCGUGAUGACGAGGCACUACGGUGCUGAAGCGACAAAUGCCCUGCUUCCAGGAAAAGCCUCUAAGCAUCAGGUAACAUCAAAUCGUACCCCAAACCGACACAGGUGGUCAGGUAGAGAAUACCAAGGCGCUUGAGAGAACUCGGGUGAAGGAACUAGGCAAAAUGGUGCCGUAACUUCGGGAGAAGGCACGCUGAUAUGUAGGUGAAGCGACUUGCUCGUGGAGCUGAAAUCAGUCGAAGAUACCAGCUGGCUGCAACUGUUUAUUAAAAACACAGCACUGUGCAAACACGAAAGUGGACGUAUACGGUGUGACGCCUGCCCGGUGCCGGAAGGUUAAUUGAUGGGGUUAGCGGUAACGCGAAGCUCUUGAUCGAAGCCCCGGUAAACGGCGGCCGUAACUAUAACGGUCCUAAGGUAGCGAAAUUCCUUGUCGGGUAAGUUCCGACCUGCACGAAUGGCGUAAUGAUGGCCAGGCUGUCUCCACCCGAGACUCAGUGAAAUUGAACUCGCUGUGAAGAUGCAGUGUACCCGCGGCAAGACGGAAAGACCCCGUGAACCUUUACUAUAGCUUGACACUGAACAUUGAGCCUUGAUGUGUAGGAUAGGUGGGAGGCUUUGAAGUGUGGACGCCAGUCUGCAUGGAGCCGACCUUGAAAUACCACCCUUUAAUGUUUGAUGUUCUAACGUUGGCCCGUAAUCCGGGUUGCGGACAGUGUCUGGUGGGUAGUUUGACUGGGGCGGUCUCCUCCUAAAGAGUAACGGAGGAGCACGAAGGUUGGCUAAUCCUGGUCGGACAUCAGGAGGUUAGUGCAAUGGCAUAAGCCAGCUUGACUGCGAGCGUGACGGCGCGAGCAGGUGCGAAAGCAGGUCAUAGUGAUCCGGUGGUUCUGAAUGGAAGGGCCAUCGCUCAACGGAUAAAAGGUACUCCGGGGAUAACAGGCUGAUACCGCCCAAGAGUUCAUAUCGACGGCGGUGUUUGGCACCUCGAUGUCGGCUCAUCACAUCCUGGGGCUGAAGUAGGUCCCAAGGGUAUGGCUGUUCGCCAUUUAAAGUGGUACGCGAGCUGGGUUUAGAACGUCGUGAGACAGUUCGGUCCCUAUCUGCCGUGGGCGCUGGAGAACUGAGGGGGGCUGCUCCUAGUACGAGAGGACCGGAGUGGACGCAUCACUGGUGUUCGGGUUGUCAUGCCAAUGGCACUGCCCGGUAGCUAAAUGCGGAAGAGAUAAGUGCUGAAAGCAUCUAAGCACGAAACUUGCCCCGAGAUGAGUUCUCCCUGAGACUUAGAGUCUCCUGAAGGAACGUUGAAGACGACGACGUUGAUAGGCCGGGUGUGUAAGCGCAGCGAUGCGUUGAGCUAACCGGUACUAAUGAACCGUGAGGCUUAACCUU
rnacentral:rRNA from 1 species